UUUUUUUCCAGCGAUGACUGCUGCUGCUGCAAACAAGAGGCCAAAAAGCAGGACACUUGACAAAUCAUAACAACUCUGAAUGAGUGCAUCACAUCUCUGCCUAGAGUCAAGCUCCAGAAUAUCUGUAGAAUUGGGGUGUCUGGACAAAUGCAUGCGGUUAUAUUCUGGAAAGCCCAAACAGAUGCACAAGUGAGAGCAUCCUGCCGGGCUGUAUCACCG